rnacentral:rRNA from 1 species
UACGAAGGGUGCAAGCGUUACUCGGAAUUACUGGGCGUAAAGGGUUCGUAGGUGGCCCGCUAAGUCAGACGUGAAAUCCCUCAGCUUAACUGGGGAACUGCGUCUGAUACUGGAUGGCUUGGAUCCGGGAGAGGGAUGCGGAAUUCCAGGUGUAGCGGUGAAAUGCGUAGAUAUCUGGAGGAACACCGGUGGCGAAGGCGGCAUCCUGGACCGGUAUUGACGCUGAGGAGCGAAAGCCAGGGGAGCAAAGCGGG